rnacentral:lncRNA from 1 species
CUUUUUAUUAUAGCAGAAAAAUUAUAUUCAUCUGGAUUUUUAUUGAUAGGUAUUGGUUUUGAUUUAUUUUUGGUAAUAUUAAUAAAUUGAGUGAUGACAGCUCUUUUUUCAUUAGGAUCACUAAUUUUGUCAAUAAUAUCUAAGAUGAAAUUAUCUUCUUGAGUAAGUGUGUGAACAUUAUGUUGGGGUAGAGGACAACUACAAUUGUCUUCUAUUGAAUUAGAGGAUUCUGUAUCACUAGUAGAAUCAGAAGUACUUGUCCACAUAAGAUCAUCAUCGUCUAUUUGGUCUAGAUGAGAAUCACUAGAAGUAGAGGAGGAAGAAUCAUAAGAUAUGAUAUUAUACAAUUUUGAAUUUUAUUGUAUCAUCUAUAUUUAAUGAUUCUAUUUUCUUUUUUAAUUUACAUUGGUGUUUAUAAUGUCCUAUUUUGCCACACUUAUAGCAUACUGGUAAUUUUUUCCUUUUC